CCCAAUUCCUCUCGGCUUGGCACAUUUCCUACCAGAGCUCCUCCCUAAUCCUACUCCUGCCCCCAUCUUCUCCAUGACUGGAGUCUCCUGCUUCCGAGGUCGUCGUGGCUACGCCAGGGCAGCCUUGGCGCUCUGUUCUUCCCGCCAACCAUUGGCGCCCCCACGAGGAGCUCGCCGGCCAGCUUCGAGGCGAGAGCUUGGGAUGGAGCGGUGAAUAUUGAGGUCCUCAGAGCUGGCGGGCGAGCGACUUUGUUACCGAAUUUCGCGAUCUGCUAUUACCGCGGCAGCCGUUUCCAGUCUCCACAAGGACAUCCCUCGGCCUACUUUGAUGUACUCCAUUGCCGUGCCUAAUGGCGCGACCACCGCCAGCAUAGGCGCGGAACGCUGCUCCUAGCGUCGUCUAUCCCCAGAACGCGGGGAGCUGGCCGAGCAGGAGCAGAGAGAGUCAACCGCAGAUCGAGGUGAGAUGCACCGGCACACUCUGCGACCAGACCAUGCCAUGCAACAGAUCAGGACACUCUGUUAAAGAUCUCUGCGUGUCUCCUGCUAGCUUCCAUGACCUUCAGCUCUAUCUUAGACAAGUAACUGGGAUCUUUAUUCUGAAUUUGUUACCCAGUCUUGCUGCUGCCGGGCGACCUGCUAUCGGAGCUUGGAAGCCUGAUUCCGGAUGGCCUCCAUUGUCCUCCGCCUGAGCCGCCAACGCUGUUGGCUCCCUAAACGACGGAGAGAUCGGAAUUGGGGAGGAAUGAAGAUCUGAAUCGGAGGGUGCGGGAGGAGGGUGUGGAAUAGUGCCUUGACCCAGGCUCACAAGGUCAAGCUGUAGCUUGGUUCAGAAAAUCAAUGUCUCCAGUGAAGGUGUCAAAUUUGUUAUGGCAGAGGUAAAAUCUUGGCAGCCUGCAGGAUUUCUUGGACACUGGACAGAAAUGGAGCCAGAUUAAGAGGUUGAGCCCUACGUCAGGCAAUUGUAUAGUAAUUUAUUUAUCCAAAUAAACCAAGCACAGCUGUUUGGAAUUUAUGUAAUUCUCAUUUUUAGUUUAUGCUAACAGGUCGGCAAUAGAUGUACUAGCUAUAACCUAACAUGAAAAUACAGUAAUCUUUUGCCUUCA